rnacentral:rRNA from 1 species
GACGAACGCUGGCGGCGUGCUUAACACAUGCAAGUCGAACGGAAAGGCCCUGCUUUUGUGGGGUGCUCGAGUGGCGAACGGGUGAGUAACACGUGAGUAACCUGCCCUUGACUUUGGGAUAACUUCAGGAAACUGGGGCUAAUACCGGAUAGGAGCUCCUGCUGCAUGGUGGGGGUUGGAAAGUUUCGGCGGUUGGGGAUGGACUCGCGGCUUAUCAGCUUGUUGGUGGGGUAGUGGCUUACCAAGGCUUUGACGGGUAGCCGGCCUGAGAGGGUGACCGGCCACAUUGGGACUGAGGUACGGCCCAGACUCAUACGGGAGGCAGCAGUGGGGAAUAUUGCACAAUGGGCGGAAGCCUGAUGCAGCAACGCCGCGUGCGGGAUGACGGCCUGCGGGUUGGAAACCGCUUGCGCCUGUGACGAAGCGUGAGCGACGGUAAUGGGUAAAGAAGCACCGGCUAACUACGUG